UACAGAGGGUGCAAACGUUGUUCGGAAUUACUGGGCGUAAAGCGUGUGUAGGCGGUGACAUAAGUCAGAUGUGAAAGCCCAGGGCUCAACCUUGGAAGAGCAUUUGAUACUGUGUCGCUUGAGUAUCGGAGAGGUUGGUGGAAUUCUCGGUGUAGAGGUGAAAUUCGUAGAUAUCGGGAGGAACAUCUGUGGCGAAGGCGGCCAACUGGACGAAUACUGACGCUGAGACACGAAAGUGCGGGGAGCAAACAGG
rnacentral:rRNA from 1 species